rnacentral:rRNA from 1 species
UACGAAGGGGGCUAGCGUUGCUCGGAAUUACUGGGCGUAAAGCGCACGUAGGCGGUCUUUUAAGUCGGGGGUGAAAUCCUGGAGCUCAACUCCAGAACUGCCUCGAUACUGGAAGACUUGAGUCCGGGAGAGGUGAGUGGAACUGCGAGUGUAGAGGUGAAAUUCGUAGAUAUUCGCAAGAACACCAGUGGCGAAGGCGGCUCACUGGCCCGAUACUGACGCUGAGGCACGAAAGCGUGGGGAGCA